rnacentral:rRNA from 1 species
AUUGAACGCUGGCGGCAUACCUUACACAUGCAAGUCGAACGGCAGCGGGGGAGAAGCUUGCUUUUCCUGCCGGCGAGUGGCGAACGGGUGAGUAAUACAUCGGAACGUGCCCUGUAGUGGGGGAUAACUAGUCGAAAGAUUAGCUAAUACCGCAUACGACCUGAGGGUGAAAGUGGGGGACCGCAAGGCCUCAUGCUAUAGGAGCGGCCGAUGUCUGAUUAGCUAGUUGGUGGGGUAAAGGCCUACCAAGGCGACGAUCAGUAGCUGGUCUGAGAGGACGAUCAGCCCAACUGGGACGGAGACACGGCCCAGACUCCUACAGGAGGCAGCAGUGGGGAAUUUUGGACAAUGGGCGAAAGCCUGAUCCAGCAAUGCCGCGUGUGUGAAGAAGGCCUUCGGGUUGUAAAGCACUUUUGUCCGGAAAGAAAUGGCUCUGGUUAAUACCUGGGGUCGAUGACGGUACCGGAAGAAUAAGGACCGGCUAACUACGUGCCAGCAGCCGCCGUAA